rnacentral:rRNA from 1 species
GACGAACGCUGGCGGCGUGCUUAACACAUGCCAGUCGAACGGAAAGGCCCCUUUGGGGGUACUCGAGUGGCGAACGGGUGAGUAACACGUGAGUAACCUGCCCUUGACUUCGGGAUAACUUCAGGAAACUGGGGCUAAUACCGGAUAGGAAUCCUUGCUGCAUGGUGGGGGUUGGAAAGCUUCGGCGGUUUUGGAUGGACUCGCGGCUUAUCAGCUUGUUGGUGGGGUAGUGGCUUACCAAGGCUUUGACGGGUAGCCGGCCUGAGAGGGCGACCGGCCACAGUGGGACUGAGAUACGGCCCAGACUCCUACGGGAGGCAGCAGUGGGGAAUAUUGCACAAUGGGCGGAAGCCUGAUGCAGCAACGCCGCGGGCGGGAUGACGGCCUUCGGGUUGGAAACCGCUUUCAGCAGGGGCGAAGCUUGUGGUGACGGUACCUGCAGAAGAAGCACCGGCUAACUACGUG